GGUCAGGACGAACGCUGGCGGCACGCUUAACACAUGCAAGUCGAACGGAGUUUGGAGCUGCUCCAAAACUUAGUGGCGGACGGGUGAGUAACACGUGAGCAACCUACCUCUGAGAGCGGAAUAGCUUCUGGAAACGGAUGGUAAUACCGCAUGACAUUGCGAAACCGCAUGAUUUUGCAAUCAAAGAAAUUCGCUCAGAGAUGGGCUCGCGCCUGAUUAGCUAGAUGGUGAGGUAACGGCCCACCAUGGCGACGAUCAGUAGCCGGACUGAGAGGUUGAACGGCCACAUUGGGACUGAGACACGGCCCAGACUCCUACGGGAGGCAGCAGUGGGGAAUAUUGCACAAUGGGCGAAAGCCUGAUGCAGCGAUGCCGCGUGGAGGAAGAAGGUUUUCGGAUUGUAAACUCCUUUUUUCAGGGACGAUAAUGACGGUACCUGAAGAAGAAGCUCCGGCUAACUACGUGCCAGCAGCAGC
rnacentral:rRNA from 1 species